rnacentral:rRNA from 1 species
GUGAGGAAUUUUCCGCAAUGGGCGAAAGCCUGACGGAGCAAUGCCGCGUGAAGGAUGAAGGCCUAUGGGUUGUAAACUUCUUUUCUCAGAAAAGAAUUAUGACGGUAUCUGAGGAAUAAGCAUCGGCUAACUCUGUGCCAGCAGCCGCGGUAAGACAGAGGAUGCAAGCGUUAUCCGGAAUGAUUGGGCGUAAAGCGUCUGUAGGUUGUUUAAAAAGUAUUCUGUCAAAGAUUAGGGCUUAACCCUAGAUAGGCAGAAUAAACUUUUAAGCUAGAGUUUGGUAGAGGCAGAGGGAAUUCCCGGUGGAGCGGUGAAAUGCGUAGAUAUCGGGAGGAACACCAAAGGCGAAGGCACUCUGCUGGGCCAAUACUAACACUGAGAGACGAAAGCGAGGGGAGCAAAUGGGAUUAGAAACCCUUGUAGUC